rnacentral:rRNA from 1 species
ACACGACUACAUUAGAUACCCGUGUAGUCCUAGCCGUAAACGAUACUCGCUAGGUGUCGGCCACGGUGCGACCGUUGUCGGUGCCGUAGGGAAGCCGUGAAGCGAGCCACCUGGGAAGUACGGCCGCAAGGCUGAAGCUUAAAGGAAUUGGCGGGGGAGCACCACAACGGGUGGAGCUUGCGGUUUAAUUGGAUUCAACGCCGGAAAUCUUACCGGGACCGACAGCAACAUGAAGGCCAGGCUGAAGACUUUGCCGGAUUAGCUG